rnacentral:rRNA from 1 species
UACGGGGGGGCAAGCGUUGUUCGGAAUUACUGGGCGUAAAGGGCUCGUAGGUGGCCAACUAAGUCAGACGUGAAAUCCCUCGGCUUAACCGGGGAACUGCGUCUGAUACGUGUGAUGGCUUGAGUUUGGGAGAGGGAUGCGGAAUUCCAGGUGUAGCGGUGAAAUGCGUAGAUAUCUGGAGGAACACCGGUGGCGAAGGCGGCAUCCUGGACCAACACUGACACUGAGGAGCGAAAGCCAGGGGAGCAAACGGG